AAUGGAAAGGAAAGAAAAAAAAAACCAAGCCAAAACAUAAAAUAAACCUAUGAAGAAAAUAUUUUUCAUCUAGAUCUAUUGGCACUGUAAAUAAAAAACAGAACCAUUUGAUGUUCCACCGACUUUUCAUUCUCUGUCACAUGUAAAGGAAAAUAUCCACAGUUUCAGGUGUUGGGAGUCUUCUGUGAUUGUAUCAGAUUGAUGUUGUUGUGGAUUUGGCCCUCCUUUCAUUGGCUGAAAUUUUUAGUGUUUGGACUGGACAGCAUUUCUUGUGCAAUGAGAGCCGUACCUAGACAUGGAAUCUUGAGGUCAUUUGGGCCUGUCGUAUUUAAGGAGGGAACAUCUCAACUGAGAGUUGAGAAUACGGCACAUUCCUGUGGAAGGGGCCAUUGCUGACCUGUUGGCCAAAUUACGCACUUUGUUGGACAGGCCUCUUUACAUCUUGUUGUACACCAUUGGUGAGGUGCUAUUGUGCAAAGGUGGAGACUUUGAUGUAUUUCUUGAUGGCUAAAAGAUUAUGCUAAACGCCAUCAGUUAUAGAGGUAAGGCUUAUGCACCCUUUAAGACACUGACUGCAUUAACAGCCAUUUACUGGAUCUGUAUUGGUAACACCUUACAUUUAAAGUAUGUUUUCUGGACUUUGAUUUGUUCACAAUGUUUUGUUUGCUUUGAGGUAGCUUCAGUCUCUGAGAUACAUUGAUGAGUGGUUUCGUAAAUUUUUCUUGUUUUAAACUCCUUGUUAUGUUAAAAUGUGUAAAGGAAUUUCUAGAUGCGUAGCUGACUGGAUAAUUUUCUGGCUUCUUAGGAUUAUCUUCUAAAGAUUCUUUUGGUGAGUAACAUUAGAAGAGGUGCGAGUUAUGUUGUCAUAAUUUAUUUGUGCUUAGGCUAUAGUAUUCUUAUUGAUAGCAUCUGUUAAUUGUGUUCCUGAAGUUCGGGCCGUCAUGUGAUUGUAGCAUGCUUGCCAUGAGCAGAAGGCCUGUUGCCCCAAGCGGGACAACUGCUGGUG